rnacentral:tmRNA from 1 species
GGGGAUGAUCUUUGGCUUUGAUAUAUCGACAAUGAUUGUAUGUGCUGUGUCGAGACCGGCAGAAUUGCUCGUAACCAUUCUGCCACCCAUGUUGCAAACAAAUCUGCAACGGCGAUCCGUUCACCAUAUAUGGCAAACGGACUCGUUCCUGCGUUCGCGUAAUAACGCCGACCAGGUGUCCUUCUCUUGCGCAUCUCCGGAAAGAGCUAGGGCAUAAUAACAGGAGAUGUAGGUGAAAAGCUUGCAUGAACUUUUCACCGAAACAAUUCAUGCACAUCAUCUAUCGUUUUCGUUUGCUUUCUAUGCUAGAUGAUUACAACGAAGCACACUAAACACUGUAGAUUCAUACAUCGUUCUGGUAUACACGGCGGUUCAAUUCCGCCCAUCUCCACAC